rnacentral:tRNA from 1 species
GGGGUGUAGCUCAGUUGGUUAGAGCGCAUGCCUGUCACGCAUGAGGUCGCGAGUUCGAGUCUCGUCACUCC